UCCUCACAAGCUAAAACAGGUUUUGAGUGUCUCUUCUUCUGUUCACAGUGGAUGAUGGUACCGGUGUGAUAAACUGCCUAUGUUGGAAAAAUGACUUGUUCAAAGAAGAGGAAAAUUCUUUGAAAUCAGGGGUAAAACCCAGUGACGGGGGCUUUAACCCGGUGAGUGAGCUGAAGAAGCUGAGGCAGGCGCAGCAGAGCCGCUGCCGGCUGGAGAUCGGAGAGCUGCUCCGGGUCAGAGGACCGGUGAAGACGUCCAGACAACAGAGAGAAAUCAUGGCCAACUGCUUCUAUAAAGUGAACGACCCAGUGAUGGCGGUCCAGAUAGCGUGGAUAAUGGAGGUUCCUCAGCUCUACAGGCAGUGUUAUGACAAACCACUUCAGCUGCAACCUACAGC